UACAGAGGGGGCAAGCGUUGUUCGGAAUUACUGGGCGUAAAGGGCGCGUAGGCGGCCUGUUAAGUCGAACGUGAAAUCCCCGGGCUCAACCCGGGAACUGCGUCCGAUACUGGCAGGCUUGAAUCCGGGAGAGGGAUGCGGAAUUCCAGGUGUAGCGGUGAAAUGCGUAGAUAUCUGGAGGAACACCGGUGGCGAAGGCGGCAUCCUGGACCGGCAUUGACGCUGAGGCGCGAAAAGCUAGGGGGAGCAAACGGG
rnacentral:rRNA from 1 species